UCGCGAACUCGUCCAAGUUGCUUCGGCGGCGCGGCACCCCUUAACGGGGGCGCCGCAGCCCUGCCUCUCCGGAGGUUCGGGGCGCCCGCCGGAGGUACGAAACUCUGUAUUAUAGUGGCAUCUCUGAGUAUAAAACAAAUAAGUUAAAACUUUCAACAACGGAUCUCUUGGUUCUGGCAUCGAUGAAGAACGCAGCGAAAUGCGAUAAGUAAUGUGAAUUGCAGAAUUCAGUGAAUCAUCGAAUCUUUGAACGCACAUUGCGCCCGGUAGUACUCUACCGGGCAUGCCUGUUCGAGCGUCAUUUCAACCCUCAAGCCCUGCUUGGUGUUGGGGCCCUACGGCUGCCGUAGGCCCUGAAAGGAAGUGGCGGGCUCGCUACAACUCCGAGCGUAGUAAUUCAUUAUCUCGCUAGGGAGGUUGCGGCGUGCUCCUGCCGUUAAAGACCCAUCUUUAACCAAGGUUGACCUCGGAUCAGGUAGGAAUACCCGCUGAACUUAAGC
rnacentral:rRNA from 1 species